CCUACGGGAGGCAGCAGUGAGGAAUAUUGGGCAAUGGUCGUAAGACUGAACCAGCCAAGUCGCGUGAAGGAAGACGGCCCUAUGGGUUGUAAACUCCUUUUUCAGGGACGAAAAAAACGUCACGUGUUAUUGAUUGAGGGUACCCCAACAAUAAGCAACGGCUAAUUCCGUUCCAGCAGCCGCGGUAAUACGGAGGAUCCGCGCGUUAUCCGGAUUUACUGGGUGUAAGGGGAGCGGAGGCGGCAUGUUCAGGGUGCCGUGAAAUGCAGUGGCUCAACCAUGGAACUGCGGUGGAAACUGGCUUGCUUGAGUGCGCGAGAGGUAUGCGGAAUUCGUGGUGUAGCGGUGAAAUGCGUAGAUAUAACGAAGAACUCCGAUUGCGAAGGCAGCAUACGGGAGCGCAACUGACGCUGAAGCGCGAAGGCGUGGGUAUCGAACAGGAUUAGAUACCCGUGUAGUC
rnacentral:rRNA from 1 species